GGAUGUGAGGGUGAUCUGGCUGUGAUAUCUGUCACCCCAUUGAUCACCAGGGUUGAUUCAGCUGAUGUGGCUGGCUAGGCGGGAGUCCCCUUCCUCCCUCACCGUUCCAUGGGUGUCCCUUCUGAAGCUGGUGCUCAGUCAAAGAGGACUGCCUUUCCCAAAUAGAGAAUGACCGGUCUUCUGUCGAGUAUAAGAGUAGCUGGGCUCCCCUGCUAGGACCUCUAAACAAGCUCUCUUUUGGGUGAUCUAGAAGGAAUCAGAGAAGUAUGAAUACUACAUAAUUGCACUUAGAAAUAGAAAU
rnacentral:snRNA from 1 species